AUUACUUUUAUAAUUUGCAUAGGGAGAACAAAUUUGCUGAUACCGCAAUUUUUUGAGUAAUGAAUGAGAAGACGAAGAGGGAUUCAUUGAUUCAACAACUUAAAGAUAAAAGUUUGUGAUUCAACGACUUAGAGAAGUAGCUAAUUUAGAGUAUUUUUUGGUUACACAACCAACUCCACCUACGAAUCAGUGAUUUAUAAUUUGGAAGACCAAGUAAACAUAUUUGACUUCACGUAGCUACUGGUAUACUUCCUUCGUAUUAUUGCUUCAGUUUUGUGUGUCAAAUUUAUGAGAUUCAGCAGUUUUUUUAUCACUAUAUGUAACUUGUAAAUUAGAGGGCGUUUAGUUUUAUAAUACUGAAGUUAGUCGCUAAUUAGCGUUGAAUUAUUUCUUGGAA